rnacentral:rRNA from 1 species
UACGUAGGGUGCGAGCGUUGUCCGGAAUCACUGGGCGUAAAGGGCGCGUAGGUGGCGACCCAAGUCGAUGGUGAAAGCUCGCCGCUCAACGGCGAGUCGGCCACUGAUACUGGGUUGCUGGAGCACUGUAGAGGCAGAUGGAAUUCCGGGUGUAGCGGUGGAAUGCGUAGAGAUCCGGAAGAACACCGGUGGCGAAGGCGGUCUGCUGGGCAGUUGCUGACACUGAGGCGCGACAGCGUGGGGAGCAAACAGG